UUGCGGCGUUUCCGAUUUAAUUAAAUUUUGAUCUUUGAGAGAUUUUCUUGUACUCCGCCUUUUCGACAUUAAUAAAUUAUUUGCUCCGUCUUCGCACGUAGACGUAGGCCGUUAGCCGAACCACAUAAAUAUCGGUGUGCUUUUUUCAUAUUUUUUCGUUUCAUGCAUUAAAUUAUUUUCUGGAUCUAUUUUUCGCCGUUCCAAUUUUAACAGUUAUCUUCGUCGGCUUGCGAUGUCCACUGAAAAAUCUUAG
rnacentral:lncRNA from 1 species